UCCGGUUUGUCACCGGCAGUCUCAUUAGAGUGCCCAACUGAAUGCUGGCAACUAAGGACAAGGGUUGCGCUCGUUGCGGGACUUAACCCAACAUCUCACGACACGAGCUGACGACAACCAUGCACCACCUGUCACUCUGUCCCCCGAAGGGGAAAGUCCUAUCUCUAGACGCGUCUGGUGCAUGUCAAACCCAGGUAAGGUUCUUCGCGUUGCAUCGAAUUAAUCCACAUGCUCCGCCGCUUGUGCGGGCCCCCGUCAAUUCCUUUGAGUUUUAGCCUUGCGGCCGUACUCCCCAGGCGGGGCGCUUAAUGCGUUAGCUGCGGCACAGAGAACCGGAGAGGCCCCCCACACCUAGCGCCCAACGUUUACAGCGUGGACUAC
rnacentral:misc_RNA from 1 species